UACAGAGGGGGCAAGCGUUGUUCGGAAUUACUGGGCGUAAAGGGCGCGUAGGCGGCCUGUUAAGUUGAACGUGAAAUCCCCGGGCUUAACCUGGGAACUGCGCUUGUAACUGGCAAGCUAGAGUGUGGCAGAGGGGGGUGGAAUUCCACGUGUAGCAGUGAAAUGCGUAGAGAUGUGGAGGAACACCGAUGGCGAAGGCAGCCCCCUGGGCUAACACUGACGCUCAUGCACGAAAGCGUGGGGAGCAAACAGG
rnacentral:rRNA from 1 species